UAUCAAUACAUUACAAUUAAUCUUUUAAUUACAUCAUGUCCACUAUUCUAUUACAAACAUACAUUCAUGCAUAUCCUUCCUCUUUACUCUUGCUGACUUUGACUUCUCACAGCUAAUCUCAGAACCUGCAAAACUGGGGUUAAGGGAGUGGGAUGAGCUACUACAGUCCAGUGAGAAGGAACAGUAAAAACAGUUCAUUCAUUACAUGCUCUCAUGAAAUGCAUCACAUCACAAACAUAUCAUCUCAAGGAUGAAUUUGUCACCAAUAACCCUUAACUACAUGUUAGAAUAAUGCCAACUGUGCCAAGGAGACUAUGUCAUCACCUGGUCUACACUUAUCUCUCUGAUAUCAUAACAUGACCAACUAUGCCAAGGAGACGAGGUCUCACCUGGUCUACACUUAACUCUGAUUUGACAGCCCAGCUGUCUCACUCAUAGUACCAGGAGCGACCUGGACUAUCCAGGGGCGACCUGGUAUGGCUAUCUCAUGCCAUAACUCUGUAUCUGCUCUCUGUCAAGGGCUAAGGAUCAUCCAACAUUCAUCCACAGGAACAACAACAUAUGCAAUGCAUCAUAUUCGUGAAUUCUAUGCAACACAACCUAAUACAUAACAUGGCAGUUUAUGAUGCAUGGAUCAUGCUAGAAUCGUGUCAUUUCUCAAAAUAAAAUAUUCAGUUUAGUUCCACUCACCUGUAGCCUCUGCUUGGCUAACUCUGGGCUAACUAGCUCUGGACCAACUCUAACUCUGAAGCAGCUA
rnacentral:lncRNA from 1 species